rnacentral:rRNA from 1 species
AACGCUGGCGGCGUGCCUCAGACAUGCAAGUCGUACGAUUAAACUUUCCUUCGGGAAAGGUAUAAAGUGGCGCACGGGUGAGUAACACGUAAGUAAUCUACCUUUGAGUGGGGAAUAACAGUCGGAAACGACUGCUAAUACCGCAUAAUGCAGCGGCUCGACAUCGAGACAGUUGUUAAAGAAUUUAUUCGCUUAAAGAGGAGCUUGCGGCAGAUUAGCUAGUUGGUAAGGUAAUGGCUUACCAAGGCGACGAUCUGUAGCCGACCUGAGAGGGUGGUCGGUCACACUGACACUGAAUAACGGGUCAGACUCCUACGGGAGGCAGCAGUCGGGAAUUUUGGGCAAUGGGCGAAAGCCUGACCCAGCAACGCCGCGUGAAGGAUGAAGUAUUUCGGUAUGUAAACUUCGUAAGAAUAGGAAGAAUAAAUGACGGUACUAUUUGUAAGGUCCGGCUAACUACGUGCCAGCAGCCGCGGUAAUACGUAGGGACCAAGCGUUGUUCGGAUUUACUGGGCGUAAAGGGAGCGUAGGCGGCAAUUCAAGUCAUCUGUGAAAUCUCCGAGCUUAACUCGGAACGGUCAGAUGAUACUGCUUUGCUAGAGUACAGAAGGGGCAAUCGGAAUUCUUGGUGUAGCGGUGAAAUGCGUAGAUAUCAAGAGGAACACCUGAGGUGAAGACGGGUUGCUGGGCUGAUACUGACGCUGAGGCUCGAAAGCUAGGGGAGCAAACGG